UACAGAGGGUGCAAGCGUUGUUCGGAAUUACUGGGCGUAAAGCGCGUGUAGGCGGCUUGGCAAGUCCUGUGUGAAAGCCCUGGGCUCAACCAAGGAAGUGCAUCCGAAACUGCAGAGCUUGAGUACCAAAGAGGAUCGCGGAAUUCCCGGUGUAGAGGUGAAAUUCGUAGAUAUCGGGAGGAACACCAGUGGCGAAGGCGGCGAUCUGGGUGGAUACUGACGCUGAGGUGCGAAAGCGUGGGGAGCAAACAGG
rnacentral:rRNA from 1 species